rnacentral:lncRNA from 1 species
CAGCCACAGAAAUUUAAGGUACAAUCCAGAGAGAGCAAUGUCUAACCCAUUGUAAGACAUAAGAAUUUGUUACCCAAAAAGUAGGUAAGUUUCUUCCUCGAGGUUUUUUUUUUUUGGUUGAGGUUAUGUCUGUCGUCUUUCUAUAAUGAUCUAAAAAUGGUCCUGCCUUAGUGACUAAGAACAUCCUCUAAGACCUCACAGUAUCGCUGUGUUCAUUCACAGCUGGGUUAAAAUCUCAUCCAUCUUCUCC